rnacentral:tRNA from 1 species
GGGCCGUUAGCUCAGUCUGGGAGAGCGCGUGAAUGGCAUUCACGAGGUCACCGGUUCGAUCCCGGUACGGUCCA